rnacentral:ncRNA from 1 species
UAAUAUUAAGUUUAUUAAUAAAUGGUUUAAUUAUGGCUAUAAAAAUCAUUAAAUAUUAAACUGCAUAAAAAUUUAAUUUUUAUUGUAUAAAAUUUUUAUUUAUAUUUUUUAGCAGAGAGUUUUUUAUUAAAUUUUGUAAGAAAGAUAAAGGAGUAUUUAAUAAAUGGGGGAUAAGGCACAGUGCCAGCAUCCGCGGUUAGUCUGUUUCCAUAGAUUUUUUUAUGAUUUGUUUUAUUUAUAAAUUAAUAGUAUAAAUUUUAUUAUUACUAAGUUAAGUUUUGAUAAAUAGUUUUAUUUAACCUUUUUAUGUAAAGUGGAUUAGAUACCCACGUAAUUAAGGAUAUAAUUAUAUCUUAGUGUAAACUAAAAUAUUUUGGCAGCUAAUUGUUUCAAAACAGGGGAAGAUGUUAAUUAAAAGAUGAUCCCCUAAUUAUUUUACUUUAUUUAUUUAGUUAGUGUAUAUCCGGUUUAAUAUUAUUAAUAUUAGUUUAAAAAAUGUAAAUAAAGAAUUUAAGCCAGGUCGAUAUGCUGUUUAUAAUAAAGGUUUAAUGUCUUACUAUAAAAAUAUUUAAUAAGAAUUUAUUUUCAUUUAGGACUUGUUAGUAAAAUUAAAUAAAAUUGUUAAUUUGAAAUUUGUUCAAUUAGGGUACACAUUGCCCGUCAAUCUCGGUUUUUCUGAGGUAAGUCGUAACAUGGUAACCCUUGGUGAACCAGGGGUUAAU